rnacentral:rRNA from 1 species
UACGUAGGGUGCGAGCGUUAAUCGGAAUUACUGGGCGUAAAGCGUGCGUAGGCGGUUCGUUAUGUCUGCUGUGAAAGCCCCGGGCUUAACCUGGGAAUGGCAGUGGAAACUGGCGGGCUUGAGUGUGGCAGAGGGGGGUGGAAUUCCCAGUGUAGAGGUGAAAUUCGUAGAUAUUGGGAAGAACACCGGUGGCGAAGGCGGCCCACUGGACGAACACUGACGCUGAGGCGCGAAAGCGUGGGGAGCAAACAGG